rnacentral:tRNA from 1 species
AAAGAAUUAGUUAAAAUAUAAUAUAAGGUUGUCAGCCUUAAGUUACUACUUUAAAUUUUAGUAUUCUUUA